AGGUGCCAUCAUUACAAGUUCGACUUUCGGUUGUCACUUGAGAGGAGGAAAGGGAGCUGGACAUGAAAAUACAGCGGAAAACGAAAGUAAAACACAGAAACUGCAGCCGGACCACUGCUCAACCUGGAUCAGUCUUGGUUAAGGUGCUGGAAACAAAAAAGUCCAAAAGCAAAGAGAGGAUUUCCGCACGCUUACAUCUGUGAUGUCGGCACAGAGGAAGUCAGUUUUAAACCUAUGAAAUUAAAGGCACUGAUAUGAGCAUAUAGAAUACACACAUUCUGUAAAUUUCUAAUUGCUGAUUGGAAACUACCGGAAAGUUGCUAAAACACAUGACCUCAACUCGUGCUCUUUCUAUCUCUAUGUGGAAGAAAUCAUUUUGAAUGGAAAGCCGCCACUAGGAGGUGUUAUUGCUCUUUGUUUGGCAUGAUGCUCUUACAGUUGAGGCUCCAUCAACUACACAGUGUGAAGAAAUCACCACAGUUAAGAUAAAAGGGAGGUGACGCAGGUCAACAAAGCAGAGCAGGAGAGGAGGCCUGUGCUUUACGGUGAAUAAGGACUGGUGUGAUGGUGGGAGUGUGAGGUGCUGUCCUGUUCCUGCUGUGGAUCACUGCUAUACAACAUGCAGAGGCAGCUGAAGCGCUACCCAUGUUCAGGAGGAGCGACCAUGCGGCCUUCUUGUUGGAGUCAAGAUGCAUGGACAGUAACAACCAGAGACCAUGGAUUACCAAAACCAUCCGGAGAGGUUAUAGAUAAAAGCAGCCAUAAGCUCCUGGCUCAAGGACCAGCCAUUCAGUUUUUUUCACAUUUGGGAACCUUUUCUGGACUAUAUUGAAAAUGAUGGGGCCCUUAGGAGUGGUAUGGACUAGCAUGGACUGAGGUCUCAAAACACAUCUCUAUGUAGGCUUAUGUUCUCAAUAAACCACUGAGAACUGUGAUGCUGUGAACCAUCACUCAUUUAUUUGUAUUUUUUUCUUCUUUCUGUUUUGUCUGUUUUGAGUUUUGUUAAUCUGUCUGUUUUUUUGUUUGUUGUUUUUUUUUUGGUUGUUUGGUUUGGUUUAGUUUGGUCAUAUUGUUUGACUGAUUCUUUGACGUACAUAUAUAUAUAUUUAUUUCAAGUGUGGAGAAUGUGUUAUGUGUUCGUUUGUGAAUAAGUUGGAAAAGAGGAUGUCUAUAAAAAUGUGUAUAACUUCCAUGCCCUUUAUUUUGUAUUGUUAUGAUCCUCAACUUGAUAAAUCGAAUCUAAAAAUGAAAUAAAAUAAAAUAAAAGCAGCCAACAAUGUAAGGAUACAGAAAAAGAAGGGCUAAAUUACAGUGCACAAGUUAAAGGAGCUGAUGCAGUCGCAUUUCACUGGACUUGUACCUUGUAUGAUUACAUGUGACAAAUAAAUGAUUGAUUGAUUGAAUUAGUCACAAGUGCAUUUGUGCCCUUUAUUUUGACAUUGUCAUCCUCACUUCAGGUGGUCUCUGUGACAGUCUCAGGGAUGACCGCAUUGUGUGCUGUCUCUUCACACCAGUGAUUGUGUCAUUUUUACCUCAAAACCUGUUAGCUACGCAACAGUUUGAGCCUUUCGUGUCUUCCCUAAUAGCCUGAAAUGGAUGCAAGUGGAACCGACAUAAGCCUGUGUGUUUAUCUGUUAUUGUCUGCGGCUGUGAGCAUGUGCUCUGGGUGUCCUCUGAGUGUGUGUUUUUGGAUGCUGUAGGUGGGUACAGUUGAUGUGCAUGCCAUGGAUGUGGAUAACGUGUGUGUGUGUGUGUGCUUACUGUGUGUUCUCAUUUGAUGGCUGCUUGCUAUCAGUGUUUGUUUGGGGUUAAAAGCCCCUGUCUCUGAGGGUGUUAGCGGGGGUCAUCUAAACCGGAUCUGCAGCAGAAUCGCUUGAGAGGCAGAAGCAUAAUCUGUAGCUGGCUUUGUGCUCCCAGAUUAAAGUGAUGAUGUUUUAAACCUUUCUCACGGCCGCAAUAUGCCUUUGCUUCCCUCCCUGCUACUCAGUAUGUGUGUGACAGCAGAUCCACACGGCCGGGUUCAAGAAAAGGACACUUUCCUCACUAUUUAUGAAACGGGGAGCUUUAGCACAUUAUCUGAGACGACGCACGCAUGUUCUAUUCAUCUAUUAAUUUGCCAUCAGCGUGGUGUAGCUAUAACGUAUCUUCUCCAGUGUUUGAGGGGAAACAGCUGCUAAUCCUAAUCCCCCCGUCUCCCCCCACGGGAUUCUGUCAAAUCACAGGCCCUUUAAAAAGCUCUGGCUGGCUGGUUCAGGGGCUGGUUGAGUGGCUGGCUGACUGGCAGGCUCUAAAUGAGAGGAUGGACCAUGCUUACCCACUCCCGUGACUGACAUCCACUCGGCCCCCAGAAAGUAUGUCACUUGUUUGUACAAGUAUGUACAUACACACACCAGAAAUUUCCACUGCACUCUGCGUCUCCAGAUGUGUCGUCCAAUACAGUUAAAAUAGCUUUAACCAUAAACAUCUACAGACAACUGGACAGGUUUCAAUAUAUGGAUACCAUAGUGUCAGGCAGAUUAGAAAAAGAGACCUUUUGGUUAGCACAAGAUAGAGGUUCAGCCACCCCAAACACACAAACGUCUCAUAAGAUAAAAUGAUGAAGUGAUGACAUUUUAUUUCCAAAAGGUCAAUGGUCAGCUUCACUGUGACAUCAUAAUGUUCUGCAAAAACACUUUCCUGGCCAUUUUUUAAUGUCAUAACUGAGGUACAGAAGGACAUUUGGUGAGAUACUAACACUCAUCUUGGGUGCCCACAUUCACACUGUGCUGCCAGGUUGAAGAUGUGUGUGAAGUAUCCAUAUUAAAGAAGUUGAGUUCUUCUUUGCAGCAAUAUCCAUAUUUGAGGCGUCAUUUGCUGUCAUGGCUACAACUUAGUGUUCAAUCACAAUCAGCUUUAUUGACCAAGCAUGUGAACACAUCCAUUGAAUUUGACUCUGGAGACUUGUAUGAGUCAACCCUCUUCGGUUCCUCUCUCUGGACGACAACGAGGCCAUGGAGCGUCCUCUUCCUCUGGUAGACCACCACAAGCUCGGUGGUUUUGCUGGUAUUGAGCUUCAGGUGAUUGUUGUUGCACCAUGUUAUUUUAUAAUACUGACAUUUUAAUGUCUUUUUUUGUGUUGUGCUAUACUAUAACUUUUUGAUGAUAUGCUAUACUAUGACUUUUUUAUGCCAUUAUGAACGACAUGAUAUACUAUAACUUUUUUUUAAUCAUAUUUUGAAUGGCAUGCUAUACUAGGAGGUUUUUUUUAUGACAUUUUGAACGACUAUAGUAUGACUUUUUUAUGAUAUCAUGAACUACAUGCUAUAGUAUGACUUUUUUAUGAUAUUAUGAACGGCAUGCUAUACUAUGACUUUUUUUGAUCA